GAUGAACGCUGGCGGCGUGCCUAAUACAUGCAAGUCGAGCGAACGGACGAGAAGCUUGCUUCUCUGAUGUUAGCGGGGGACGGGUGAGUAACACGUGGAUAACCUACCUAUAAGACUGGGAUAACUUCGGGAAAACGGAGCUAAUACCGGAUGAUAUUUUGAACCGCAUGGUUCAAAAGUGAAAGACGGUCUUGCUGUCACUUAUAGAUGGUUCCGCGCUGCAUUAGCUAGUUGGUAAGGUAACGGCUUACCAAGGCAACGAUGCAUAGCCGACCUGAGAGGGUGAUCGGCCACACUGGAACUGAGACACGGUCCAGACUCCUACGGGAGGCAGCAGUAGGGAAUCUUCCGCAAUGGGCGAAAGCCUGACGGAGCAACGCCGCGUGAGUGAUGAAGGUCUUCGGAUCGUAAAACUCUGUUAUUAGGGAAGAACAUAUGUGUAAGUAACUGUGCACAUCUUGACGGUACCUAAUCAGAAAGCCACGGCUAACUACAUG
rnacentral:rRNA from 1 species